GAAGCCGCCACACUCCGCUUCCGCUGUCGGCGGUAAGCUCCGACUAAUGUGCAGCUACGGCGGACACAUAUUCCCUCGUCCCCACGACAAAUCUCUCUGCUACGUCGGCGGAGAAACCCGCAUUUUCGCCGCCGACCGUAACACCUCCCUCGCCGACCUUUCUGCUAAGCUCUCUAAAACCCUACUCGGCGGCCAUCCCUUUUGUUUAAAGUAUCAGCUUCAAAAUGAAGACCUUGAUUCACUUAUCUCCGUUACUUCGGAUGAAGACCUCGAAAACAUGAUCGACGAAUACGACCGUAUGAAUAUGAAUAAUUCAUCAUCUUCUAAAGUCGCUCGACUUCGUUUGUUUUUAUUUCCGAGCAAAACUGAUACAGUUGAAAUGGUUCGAGAAAAUUUAAUUAAAUCGAAGACAAUUGGAAUGGUUAGAGAAAGUUUAACGAAAUCCGAUGAUUGGUUCGUUAAUGUUUUAAAUGGUGCGAGUUCUGCUACGGUGUUUUCUGAAACUUCGUCUGUAAAUUACCUUUUGGGUUUGGAUGAUGACGUGGAAAAUGUCAAAGAUGACGUGGAGGCACAAUUAGAGGUGAAAAAUGGUGGAAAUAAUGUUACGGUUAGUGCGCAGGAUGUUAUUCAAUCGGUGCCGGAUUCUCCGAUGGUUGAAACGACGUCGUCUUUUGGGUCGAUGUCUUCUUUGAAUUUGCCGCCGAUAAAGGUUCAUGUUGAGGAGAAUCAAAAAGGUGGAAUUUUUGAGGAUCAAUUUUCACAGAUGACUCUUGGGGUAGUGAAGCAGAAGCAUGAGGAAGGAGGAUUUGUGGAUUUAUCUUCGCCGCCGGCACCGGCUGUUUUAGUGCCGGCGACGGUUUUUUCCGGCGUGCAACAGCAACAGCAGCCUCCGCAGUUGCAACCAAAGCUUGUUAUUCCAUCUGAUUUGCCUUCCCCUGAUUCAGUCUCAAGGUAAAUUAUCUAAAAGAUCUUUACUUUAAUGCAUGGACGGUGUAGAAAAAUAGUAAAUGUUACUUAAAAGGUAAUUGCAGGUAAUUUUACUUGACAGUAAUAGCAUUGAUUGAUAAUCUAGAAGAAAUCUUAACUAACUUGUUCUAACAGGUUAAAUUACCGUGGCAGUGCGUAUAAUUAAUUCUUAAAAUAUAUGUUUGUUGAAACAAACCGUACUAAUUGCUUGACAAAUGUGUUUUGUGAUCCUUUUUAUUAGUGCUAAAAUUAGGAUCUUGAUUCAAUUUGGUGCAGUGAGGGUAGUGUGACAAAUCCAUUGUCUAGGCAAAGGCAUUUCUUUUAUCAAGAACCAGGGGUUCAAUUCCAGUCGGGGAGUGGUAGGAUUUCUGGUAAUUCAGUUGAUCCGAAGAUGAGCGAUUCGAUUGGAAGGGCUCAGGUAAAACAGCAAGUUCAGGAUACUGGAUAUGCAUUGCCAGUACAAUAUGCUCAGCAACAGCAAAUGCAUCAAACUCAACAGUUUGUUCAUAUGGGGCAGUAUAUGCAGCAUACGCCUUCCGGCCCUGUGCAGAUGGCGUCUUAUUAUCCUAUAUACCCUUCACAGCACCAAACUCAUCCUCAACAACACCCUGCUCUCGAGCACCAGUGUCCCGUUUACUUUAUUCCUGCAAAACCUUCCCAAGGUUACAGUUUGCCGUUGCAACAAACAAAUUAUACUGAGCCUUCUCAAACAGUCCCUUCUGCUCGUCCCCAAACACCUCCUAUUAUGGUCACUCACACCGCAGCUUACAAUCCAGCUAGAAAUCCUCUGACAUCUAAACCUGAAACAGUUGCUGGUACAUACAGAACUGCAGGUGCGGGUGCAGCGGCUCCACAAUUUGUUCAGAUCACUUCGGGCCAGCAUC
rnacentral:lncRNA from 1 species